rnacentral:rRNA from 1 species
UACGUAGGGGCCGAGCGUUGUCCGGAGUUAUUGGGCGUAAAGCGCGCGCAGGCGGCUUCGCGCGUCCGACGUGAAAGCCCCCGGCUUAACCGGGGAGGGUCGUUGGGUACGGCGGAGCUUGAGGGCGGGAGAGGGUGGUGGAAUUCCCGGUGUAGUGGUGAAAUGCGUAGAGAUCGGGAGGAACACCGAUGGCGAAGGCAGGUCUCUGGGCCAUAACUGACGCUGAGAAGCGAAAGCAUGGGGAGCGAACAGG